rnacentral:rRNA from 1 species
CGUGGGUAACCUGCCCAAGAGAUCGGGAUAACACCUGGAAACAGAUGCUAAUACCGGAUAACAACAGAUGAUGCCUAUCAACUGUUUAAAAGAUGGUUCUGCUAUCACUCUUGGAUGGACCUGCGGUGCAUUAGCUAGUUGGUAGGGUAACGGCCUACCAAGGCGAUGAUGCAUAGCCGAGUUGAGAGACUGAUCGGCCACAUUGGGACUGAGACACGGCCCAAACUCCUACGGGAGGCAGCACC